UCCGACUUCGCCGUCGUUACCGUAGCAGUCACGACCUCCGGUGUGCUCGCCGCGUGCUCCUGUAGCUCGCCAAUCUUGCGGACCACCACGCGCUCGACGUCGCUCUAGGGCGGUUACGGGCACUGGCGGAGAAGGUCAGGGUGGCGCAGGCGGUGUACGAGCUGGAGCAGUAGAGGUGGAGGCUGUUCGAGCAACUUUAGAUGCUUCUGUUCCUGCCACGAUCCUUCCUACUCUAGAGGAGGGUAGAAUGGCGCGGCCACGUUUCGCUGUAGAAGGGGUUCAUGAUACUUUCCGAGUUUCUCUAGGCACUAAUGGUAUCCGCCUUAGUGAGACGGGCAAAGUAGUCGCUUUGACUGCUAAUACUCCUCGAUGAUUUCCUCCUUGGCCGAUAACUUAAGUGACCGCUCCACGACAGGUCAUGUUAAAAGUGGAACUAUUAGGACGAACUCUACUAAACACGUGACAAAAUAGGAUUACGUAUGGCACCAAUUAGAUUAAGAGAAAAGAACGUAUCAACGUAUAUUAUAGAACUGAUGGGCGUCUACGUUCAAACAACAUCAUAUGUAUGGAUACAAAUAUAUAAGAUAAGAACUCUUCUUUUUACGUACCGUUGGAGUAGCAUAGCGGAGAUAGAUUUAACAGAUCAGGACGAAGUGCGAAGGUAUGAUUCAACUAAUACAAUUCACGUUUUCAAUACCAUUUAGUAGUUAUUCCAGACAGACGAUUUUUGUAACGUCUCGGGACAUCGUGGGAACAGAAGGAAAAACAACGUCAUCAGAACUUGAGCUCCCAUAGAGAUAACACUAUGCACAUAAAAUUAAAGACGUCCCAACAAACUAAGGAGAACAUCCUAGUGCCACGAUACGUACCUCCGUAAACCGGCCAUGAACCUGAAUGUACUCGAGAUGUUACUCAAGUAUUUAAGGUUCAAACCUAGCGAUUACCUUAUGAGUCGUAUGCAACCAUGAAAACGAGUCUGACUUUUUUAGAACGUAUCAGAUUUUCGAUGGUCCGUUAUGUUUCUUAUAAACCUCGUAUAAAACCUUAUGGACUACAGUAAAUACAUAGCAUGUCUCGGUAACGUUCUAUAACUAUUUUAAAAAUGUUUCAACGUUUCACUCAAGCUUCUUGUCACCCGGUUACCGCUUCAUGGACCUACCCUCUUAUUCCCGUGUCUCUUUUUUAGACUUAGCGUUCUCAGACGUCAUCUGGAGCUAAUGAUGUUAUAACAACUUCUCGAACAUCUCGAACCAGGCCUUUUCAACUUUCUCCGAAAUUGACGAGCACCUAACUUCCCACCGCCGUGACAAGUUGUCGCACGACUCGCGGAAAAGAACGACUUCGUAUGUGGGAACCUUGUUAACCUAGCAUUCGUAAAACGGUUUCCACUACUAAACUUCUUCCUUUAACGAAACCAACUUCACUUCUACUUCGCGAAUACACUCUAAGAGCUACUCCAGUAACAUUCUUGUUUCCUUUUACGCCUCUUCUUCGACUGAAACUGGAUACUUCUUUACCUUCGUCUUGCCCUUCUUCUUCUUCAUGUUCGACUAUCACUUUCACUACUGCUUCUGGUUGUUUAGAUGUUGGGAGAGUUCAAUGGUUACCCAACCCUGCCCUUUGGAUAGGGGAUAACCGAGAUAUUCGAAGUGCCAGAACCAGUCCUUAAGUUCACGCUCUAUACACCAUUGGUGUCAAUGACCCCCGCUUCCCUGAUACUCGCGGUAAAGUUUCUCACCGCGGUAGUCGUACCCUACGCUACGGAACCAUAAGGAUUAUGGUUCUUGAAGUUGCUUUAAUGUAGGUAACUCCUCCGCUUUCGUGACACCCUCUCCUAUGUUCGUUUCGUUCCCGACUUGUUCACCGCCGGUCUGAACCUUCUCCUCAUGCUUCUGUUCCUACCGUUGUAGAUGUUGUUUUUCUGCAUGUGACUGGACGUCGCGGUUCCGGACUAUAUCUAUACGCUAAGAACACGCAACCCCAAACCUGCCGCGAUUUAGGUAACUUUGGACGACUGGAACUACCAGCGACGUUGAGACAUAAUCGAACGCAAUAUAUGAGACGUUCUACAAUGAGGCACAAUAUAAAAUGCGCGGCCUCAUGAACCCUCGAGUUGAAGGAAGAAGCCCCAUGUAACGUGUAAUACGAGAUAUUAACCAGGUAGAAUGAGGCACAAGAAUCCAGGACAAGCCAGUUUAGGAAAGUUCCAAAGCGAAGUUG
rnacentral:rRNA from 1 species